CCCAGAUUUGGGGCAAAUUCACAGCAUCUCCCCGCUCCAAGCCCUUAAACACAGCUCCGCCUCCGAGCGCGGCUAGGUCCAGCCUAGGCUGAGCUCCUGGGACUCCGCCACCCCCAUCGCGUGCCUGGCGCCUCCGGCUUCCUCCUGCGGCCACAGGCGUCACGCGAUGGCUGCGAUCGCGUGCGAGCGAACGGGGCCCCACCCGGUGUGGGACGUGGGGCUGAUCCAGACAGUCCAACAGCAGCAGACUAUUUGCCUCAUGUGGGUUCUGAGAGGAGCUCUUUGCCAGCUGAAGAUAGUUUGAAUCUGAGGACUGUGGAGAAAGAAUAAAUGCCAGAGCCCAGUGGAGAUCCGAGAAAAAACCAUGCUGCUCCUGCUUCACCCUUGCUGCUCCUGCUUCACCCUUGCUGCUUCUAAUUGCUGUUGUGAGACAAGAAGAUGAAGAUCGCCUGAAACAAGGAUUGGACUUGCUCCAAGGAAUAAAACGACCCUAACCAGCAAGAAGCAGCUAAGAGAACUGUGACCUCUCUCCCACUCACCCUUUCUCUCUCCUACCUGGUGUUGGGGUGUUGGAAAGAGUUGAGGUGGAGUAGGGAGAAAAAGAUAAAAGAAAUGUAAAUAAAAGAGUUUAAAAAAAAAAAAAACAAAA